rnacentral:misc_RNA from 1 species
AACGGUCUAUACCUGCGGUACCUGCGGAAGGAUCAUUACCGAGUUUACAACUCCCAAACCCCCUGUGAACCUAUACCAUUACUGUUGCUUCGGCGGGUCAUUGCCCCGGGGAAAGGACGAGGUGCCGCCUAGGCUCCCCGGCCCGCCCCCGGAAACAGGCGCCUGCCGGGGGAAUCAAACUCUUCUGUAUUUUUUACUUUUACUGUUAUACUGUCUGAGUACAAAACUAUAAAUGAAUCA